rnacentral:rRNA from 1 species
GACAGAGGGGGCAAGCGUUGCUCGGAAUUACUGGGCGUAAAGGGCGCGUAGGCGGGAUGGUAAGUCGGUCGUGAAAUCCCUCGGCUCAACCGAGGAACGUCGAUCGAUACUACCGUUCUUGAGGAUUGCAGAGGAGACUGGAAUUCCCGGUGUAGCGGUGAAAUGUGUAGAUAUUGGGAGGAACACCGGUGGCGAGGGCGGCCCCCUGGACCGGUACUGACGCUGAGGCGCGAAAGCGUGGGUAGCAAACGGG